UGCCCCAUGGCUGAGUUGGUUACAGCGUCCGACUGUUACGAAGCUCUCGUCACACAAUAAUCGGAAGGUCGAGAGUUCGAGCCUCUCUGGGGCAG